UUGCAAUGAUGACUAUCUUAGGACACCUUUAGAUUAUACAUGAAACAAUGUAAAGCGAUAGAUUCUGAGCAAC